rnacentral:lncRNA from 1 species
AUGGAGCCCUUUACCCCAUGGUUGGGGCCUGUAUCCUCUCUCUCUCUGGAGAACCAGGUGUUGAUAACAAGAUUCAGAGCCCAGCACCUUGGACUCCCAGUCUUCGACCACCCUGUUCCUCUCCUCCGAGGAGCCAGGCCCCUCCACCGCUGCACUGCCGUCCCCCUCGUCGUCCUGCGAGCCCUCGGCGUUCUCCCCGGGGCCCCCGGCGCUGCCCCACCUGCUGCCUUCGCUGCCCACCGCGCCCGCACCCCCGGCCUCGGGUUCGGGCGCCCCGAGGCGCGCCGGCCUCUACUCGGUGGUUGCCUCGUCCCCGGAGGCAGCCUCGCGCCUCCUGGACUGGCUCCCCGGCGGCCCCUCUGCCACCCCGCCCGGCGCCCGCGGGGAUGAGCGCGAUCGGCCCGGGCUCCGCGCCCCGCGCCCUGGCGCAGCGGGCAGGGAGGAGGGCACUGAGGACCUGGGCGCCUCCCCGCAGCACUGCGCCCGGCCUGCCGCCUCCGCCAGUUUGGAAGCCAAUGUUGGGGACAUCCUGGUGGAGCUGAGGACAAUGAACAGUCACCUGGACGUCAUCGCGAGGGCCCUCACCAAAUUGGCCUCGUCCCUGGGGCCGCAGCCGCAGACCCCGCCGGAUGCCCCAGAUGCCAAGUGAUGGGGCCGCCCCGCGACUGUGCAUCUGAGCCGCGCCCAGUAAAGGGACCCGAACGCACCAGGCAUCGCUGCCUGAGUCACCUUUGAGCCCAGCAAACCCAGCGGAGGGCAGGAUUACUCUGCUCAACCUGCUUACUGGAAGGCAUGGCCCUCCCCUGGCAUUUCAACCUGAAAUGAUGGUGCUUCUCACACUCUCAGCCUUAUGAGGCUUUCUCUCACGCCCAGCCGGCUCCUCGGAGCUCUCCUGGCCCUUCACAUGUCCUUCUCUUGUUUUGGUAAAGGCUUUGAGCUCCUGGCAGGACAAGUGCCCUAAGACAGUGGUGGGACCCUGGGAAAGGCUCAGAGAACCAUCCCUUCCCAUCCCCAUUGGCAACUUCUGAGAAUUGUGGAAGAAAGGCAAGUGCCCAGCACAUUACAUAAGCAGUAGUUCAAGGGCAGAUCCAAUGUUCUUCUCUUGAGUUGCUGAUGCUGUAUCUGACCGCUGGUGAUUUUUUCACAUUAAAAAAAAUUAUUUUGGGAAAAAUAAGUUUACUUUUUUCUCAUAAUAACCACAUUUUGAGAGGUUUGGAAAACAGAGAAGUGAGAAAAAUCUGAUGUAUUUGGAGAAGGGG